UUUUUAAUUUAAUUUUAUUAUGUUCUUCAAUUUCUUUCUUUUUUUUCUUAAUUUUAUUUUAGCACCCCUCUCCUUCUGUUUGCUCCUCUCUCCAGGUCUGUAUACCCUUCCUUUGCAAGUUCGGUCCUGCUACCAGUAGCAACAGUCUUGUCUUUGGGAAGGAGGAUGAUCAGAAACCCAUAUUCGUCCCCCAGAACCAGCCAUAAACUAUGCGUCUCUCCCUGUGGGGCGUGCUGACUGGCCUUUUCUGUUAGGAGGGAGUCAGCAUGUGGCGUCUGGGUUCUCCCUGGUGACGGGGCUCCUGAUGCGCAGCUCCAGACCCUCCUGCCUGAGCCCUCCAUAUCAGUCCCUCCCACCAGACAACAUCCUGGGGUUCCCCAAGAACCUCGACGUCUGUGGGUCCCUUUGCCAGGCCCAGCACCAAUGGUCACCCAACCCAGGCUCCAGACCUGCGACAGAUGGCGUAUCCCCCAUGUACUCUCACACCAUACACUGAGCCCCUCGUUUGGGAACUAUUUGGAGGAUUAAGCCUCUCCCUGGAAGAACCAAAUCCCAAUCCUCCUGGCACACCCCAGCAGCAAACAUGCUCGGAUUCUUCAUCCCACUGUAUCCAGCGGCUGGCCUGAGGUGUCACCGCACAAACCCAGAGACCCGGCCACCACUGCUUGAAUCUGAACAGAAAAUGUACUUGAGGAACCAGAGAAGAGGACUUAGAACAAAAUAAAAUGUCAGGGAAAUGAAA